rnacentral:rRNA from 1 species
CGAAGCCUACGGGAGGCAGCAGUAGGGAAUCUUCCACAAUGGACGAAAGUCUGAUGGAGCAACGCCGCGUGAGUGAAGAAGGGUUUCGGCUCGUAAAGCUCUGUUGGUAGUGAAGAAAGAAAGAGGUAGUAACUGGCCUUUAUUUGACGGUAAUUACUUAGAAAGUCACGGCUAACUACGGGCCAGCAGCCGCGGGAAUACGUAGGUGGGAAGCGUUAUCCGGAUUUAUUGGGCGUAAAGAGAACGCAGGCGGUCUUUUUAGUCUGGU